UGCUCUGGAUAAGCGACUUACAAUAUAAACAUUUUAAAUAUUAGGCAUCUGAUGUUUAGGUGUUGUGUGUUCAGGACAUAGUCACAGUGUGGAACGGGAAGCAGGUCACUGUGUACGAAUCCUCAGGGACAACUCUACGCAACACGGGAUAUUUCCCGUGUGAGUCCCAGGUCUUAGCUGUGCUGUGAAUAUCUACACUGUGGAGCCCAAUAGGGUCCAGGUCCACACACCACAGGGCACAGUGAAGCAGCUGCUAGCCUUCUCUGAGGCGGAGGGCAACCCUGUGCCGCUCGGUGGGUGUCAGGGCUACCUGGUGGUUGGAACAGACACGUUUAACCUUUAUUUAACAAGGCCAAUGAUCAAGGUGAAUGGGAGACCUGACCACAAAAUGUGCUUCUAUAAUGUGGAGAUGGACACACUCUCUCACUUUGACUUCUUCACUGGCAGACCACCUAUUGGCAUCUCACAGGCCGACGACACAGAAAGAGGGCCACUGACAGAGCUGAGCGAGAGAUGUCCUGUGUUUCACUUUUUGGACGAGAGCGAGCCUCUGUCUGUUUGUGUGUGAGACAAUACUGGUCGACUCCGAUUCUGCCCAAAUGGACCACCUGGACAGGUUGCUUCAUUUUACUAGUUACCACCACACAAAAAAUGUAACAUACAUUAUAACAUACAAAACAUUAAGAACACCUUCUCUUAACAUGACAUAGACUGACCAGCUGAAUCCAGGUGAACGAUCUGAUCCCUUAUUGAUUUCACCUGUUAAAUCCACCUCAAUCAGUAUAGAUGCAUUUAUUUGUAUUUUUUAGCGGAGCCCUGUAGUACAAUGCAAUCUUAGUCCUCUAUUGACGCUUUGCCUGUUUGAUGGUUCGUCAGAGAGCAUAGCGGAAUUUCUUAAAGAUUCCGGUUUUAUAUUUGACAUUUAUUUUACCUUUAUUUAACUAGGCAAGUCAGUUAAGAACAAAUUCUUAUUUUCAAUGACGGCCUAUGAACAGUAAAGGGGUGUGAAUACUAUCUGAAGGCACUGUAAAUGAUCUCUGAGUGUGUCCUGAUUUGGUGAUUUGAGGAAGAAAGUAGAAAAUGCAUACUGCAAUGGCAGAGAGGACAGGUGCAUCCUGUUUCCAUUGAUCAUCCUUGAGAUGUUUCUACAACUUGAUUGGAGUCC